rnacentral:tRNA from 1 species
GGUCGGAUGGUGUAGUUGGUUAUCACGUCAGUCUAACACACUGAAGGUCUCCGGUUCAAGCCCGGGUCUGGUCA